CGCGGCCCGGCCGCGCUUCCGCCCGCGUCAGCUGACUGCUGCGAGGAAGCGGCGGCGGCCCCGGCCCAGCCCCGAGCCUGUGGAAGCCCCGGCGCGUCCCCCCCCGCAGCCAUGGCAGGGGUCGUGGUGAGCGGAGCCCAACUUACUGCCGUGCCAGGUCUGCAGCUACCGGCGGAGUCCGGCGCAGGGCCCGGUGGGCCCAGGAGUGUGUCGUGCUCCGGUUGAUCUUGGGCUCCCUGCUCUCCGGCUUGAGUAGGUUGCAGGAAUCGACUGAAGGACUGAAAUAUGCUGUGUGUUGUUUCUGCUGAAAGUGAACACGGUCCGUUUCGUUUUGACUAAAGAGAGAAGUAGAGAAGUAAAACAAAUCCUCCUGGCCUUUACCCAGAUCCUUAUUUGGCGACCGAAAAAGAUUUCUAGCCAAAAUUUGAUGUAGUUACUGCUGAAGCUGUGGCUACAACUAGCAAAACAUUCCCUCCCCACCUCCUCCCCCAAAUAAUAAAUUAAUCUUGUUUUCUUUUUGAAAAUGGUUUCCAUUAAAGCAGGGUGCUGUCUGUCCAGCUGCUUCUUUAAUCUGGUCGCUAUUUCUGUGUGGAAUUCAGGUAAAUAUGUGUGUGAUAUGGAAGCAAUGGGCUAAUUUUGCAGUUGCUGCAGGAAACAGUUCCUGUGGUCUCUGUGGCGCACUGUGGCACUGAGUAGCAUGCUGCCUUCUUCCAUCGAGCGUGCCUUGACCUCUUAAUUUGGCUUUGUGCCUAAAAUACAAUCUUCUAACAGCAUAUAGUAAAAUGUAAUGCUCAACUGACUGGAAGUAUUCUCCCGAUGUAAUUCCCUUCAAUGGAAAGGAUUAUGCAAUAUCAAGAAUUCAUACAUGGCUUUUUUGGUGAUAUUCUUUAAUAAAAAUGUUACUUUAUGAGUUACGAAGAUUACAAUAUCAUUGUAAAAUGAUUGCAGAGAUUACGUGGUAAUAUCCUCUGAAAUUAAAGCAAAAAGAGAGGUGCAACUGCUAUUGACUGGUUAACUUAUUUUUUAAGUAUUUUGUAGAAACAUUUUUUUUUCUGAAUUACAUACAGUGUGUUGAAGAGUCUGCAAGAAUGUCUGAGACGUCCAUAGCCUAUCUGGUGAUGAGCUUUGUGGGAAGCUAACUGAACAUUUUGGUGGGAUAUUGA
rnacentral:lncRNA from 1 species